UGACCUGCGGAGGAUCAUUAACGAAUGCGAGUCGGUCGACCGUGCUGGCGGAAACGCAUGUGCACGUCGGUCGCAAAACAUCCACACACCUGUGAACGUAUGGCCUUUGAGUCUUUCGACUCGGGGCAAACCAUUUUUACCCACUCUGUAAAAGAAUGUUUAAAACGCGUAAAGCAAACAACUUUCAACAACGGAUCUCUUGGCUCUCGCAUCGAUGAAGAACGCAGCGAAAUGCGAUAAGUAAUGUGAAUUGCAGAAUUCAGUGAAUCAUCGAAUCUUUGAACGCACCUCGCACCCUUUGGUAUUCCGAAGGGUACACCCGUUUGAGUGUCAUUGUAAUCUCACCCCAAAAUUCUUUUUGGGUGUGGGCUUGGAUGCUGCCGAUCCGUCGGCUCGUCUGGAAUGUCUCAGUGUACCCCGCUCGUCGGCGUAAACAGUGUGAUAAGUAUCUUCACUGGUCAGCCUCUCCGGAGGCGCGCUUUCAGGUGGGCUCCUGCACUUACAACCGUCUUCGGACAAAUCUCUGACAAUUUGACCUCAAAUCGGGUGGGAUUACCCGCUGAACUUAAGCAUAUCAAUA
rnacentral:rRNA from 1 species